rnacentral:misc_RNA from 1 species
AACGCACAUUGCGCCCGGUGGUAUUCCGCCGGGCAUGCCUGUUCGAGCGUCAUUUAAACCAAUCCAGCCUCGUGCUUGGGUCUUGGGCCUUUCGCCUCUGGGCGGGCCUUAAAAUCAGUGGCGGUGCCAUCUGGCUCUAAGCGUAGUAAUACUCCUCGCUAUAGACGUCUGAUGGUGUCUUGCCAACAACCCCUAAUUUUUACAGGUUGACCUCGGAUCAGGUAGGGAUACCCGCUGAACUUAA